rnacentral:misc_RNA from 1 species
GGAAGUAAAAGUCGUAAACAAGGUUUCCGUAGGUGAACCUGCGGAAGGAUCAUUAUUGUAUAACCGAGGUGCGAGGGCUGUCGCUGACCCGAAAGGUCGUGCACGCCCGAGUGCCCUCACACACAUCCAUCUCACCCCUAUGUGCACCACCGCGUGGGUCCCCCUUUGGCUUGUUCGGAGGGGGCUUACGUUUUCACACAAACUUUGUAUGCAGUGUAGAAUGUAUUUUUUGUUUUUGCGAUCACGCAAUCAAUACAACUUUCAACAACGGAUCUCUUGGCUCUC